rnacentral:rRNA from 1 species
GUGACAGCCGCCGCGGUAAUACGGAGGAUCCAAGCGUUAUCCGGAAUCAUUGGGUUUAAAGGGUCCGUAGGCGGUUUAAUAAGUCUGAUGUGAAAUCUCUGAGCUCAACUCAGAAUGGCAUUGGAUACUAUUCGGCUAGAGAGUCGGAGGGGGGACUGGAAUACUUGGUGUAGCAGUGAAAUGCGUAGAUAUCAAGUGGAACACCAGUGGCGAAGGCGAGUCCCUGGACGACUUCUGACACUGAGGCACGAAAGCUAGGGGAGC